rnacentral:tRNA from 1 species
GCCCCUGUAGCUUAGCAGGUGGAGCGCGCGACUGUUAAUCGCGAGGUCGGCAGUUCAAGUCUGCCCAGGGGCG